GUAUGUCUGUCAGUGUCUGUGUGUAUGUGUGUUUCAGUAUGUCUGUCUGUCUGUGUGUACGUGUGCCAGAAUGUCUGUCAGUGUGUCAGUAUGUCUAUGUGGGAGUCUGUCAGUGUCCUUGUGGUUCUGUAUGUCUGUGUUUGUCAAUAUGUCUGUCAGUGUGUGUGUAUGUGUGUUUCAGUAUGUCUGUCUGUCUGUAUAUGUGCCAGUAUGUCUGUG